AUUGAACGCUGGCGGCAGGCCUAACACAUGCAAGUCGAACGCGUGGCGGACGGGUGAGUAAUGUCUGGGAAACUGCCUGCUGGCGGGGGAUAACUACUGGAAACGGUCGCUAAUACCGCAUACCUCCGUAUGUGCUCAGAUGGGAUUAGCUAGUAGGUGGGGUAAAGGCUCACCUAGGAGACGAUCCCUAGCUGGUCUGAGAGGAGGACAAGCCACACUGGAACGGAGAAACGGUCCGGACGCCUACGUGAGGCAGCAGUGGGGAAGAUUGCACGAUGGGCGCAAGCCUGAUGCAGCCAUGCCGCGUGUAUGAAGAAUGCCUGCGGGUUGUAAAGUACUUUCAGCGGGGAGGAGUUACCCGCAGAAGAAGCACCGGCUAACUCCGUGCCAGCAGCCGCGGUAAUAC
rnacentral:rRNA from 1 species